CCUACGGGCGGCAGCAGUGAGGAAUAUUGGUCAAUGGACGAGAGUCUGAACCAGCCAAGUAGCGUGAAGGAUGACUGCCCUAGGGGUUGUAAACUUCUUUUAUAAAGGAAUAAAACGAGGCACGUGUGCCUUUUUGCAUGUACUUUAUGAAUAAGGAUAGGCUAACUCCGUGCCAGCAGCCGCGGUAAUACGGAGGAUCCGAGCGUUAUCCGGAUUUAUUGGGUGUAAAGGGAGCGUAGAUGGGGUGUUAAGUCAGUUGUGAAAGUUUGCGGCUCAACCGUAAAAUUGGAAUUGAUACUGGCAGUCGUGAGUACAGUUGAGGUAGGCGGAAUUCGUGGUGUAGCGGUGAAAUGCUUAGAUAUCACGAAGAACCCCGAUUGCGAAGGCAGCUUACUAAACUGUGACUGACAUUGAUGCUCGAAAGUGUGGGUAUCAAACAGGAUUAGAUACCCCAGUAGUC
rnacentral:rRNA from 1 species